rnacentral:rRNA from 1 species
CCUACGGGAGGCAGCAGUAGGGAAUCUUCCGCAAUGGACGAAAGUCUGACGGAGCAACGCCGCGUGAGUGAUGAAGGUUUUCGGAUCGUAAAGCUCUGUUGUUAGGGAAGAACAAGUGCGAGAGUAACUGCUCGCACCUUGACGGUACCUAACCAGAAAGCCACGGCUAACUACGUGCCAGCAGCCGCGGUAAUACGUAGGUGGCAAGCGUUGUCCGGAAUUAUUGGGCGUAAAGGGCUCGCAGGCGGUUUCUUAAGUCUGAUGUGAAAGCCCCCCGGCUCAACCGGGGAGGGUCAUUGGAAACUGGGAAACUUGAGUGCAGAAGAGGAGAGUGGAAUUCCACGUGUAGCGGUGAAAUGCGUAGAGAUGUGGAGGAACACCAGUGGCGAAGGCGACUCUCUGGUCUGUAACUGACGCUGAGGAGCGAAAGCGUGGGGAGCGAACAGGAUUAGAUACCCUGGUAGUCCACGCCGUAAACGAUGAGUGCUAAGUGUUAGGGGGUUUCCGCCCCUUAGUGCUGCAGCUAACGCAUUAAGCACUCCGCCUGGGGAGUACGGUCGCAAGACUGAAACUCAAAGGAAUUGACGGGGGCCCGCACAAGCGGUGGAGCAUGUGGUUUAAUUCGAAGCAACGCGAAGAACCUUAC